rnacentral:rRNA from 1 species
UUCGCCAGGAAACAACGAGCCCCAGCUUAAAACCCAAAGGACUUGGCGGUGCUUUAGACCCCCCUAGAGGAGCCUGUUCUAGAACCGAUACUCCCCGUUCAACCUCACCCUCCCUUGUUCUCCCCGCCUAUAUACCGCCGUCGUCAGCUUACCCUAUGAAGGGCUAAUAGUAAGCAAAAUUGGUAACAACCCAAAACGUCAGGUCGAGGUGUAGCGUACGAGAGGGGAAGAAAUGGGCUACAUUCACUGACUCAGUAAAUACGAACGUUGCACUGAAACAAGCAUCUGAAGGAGGAUUUAGCAGUAAGGGGGGAACAGAGCGCCCCCCUGAAAAUGGCCCUGAAGCACGCACACACCGCCCGUCACUCUCCCCGAAAAACAAAACAAAUAAAUAAUAAACUAAAUAAAUAUAUAGGGGAGGCAAGUCGUAACAUGGUAAGUGUACCGGAAGGUGCGCUUGGAAAAAC